UGCUAAUUGAUGAUGUGGGUACUGGGUAAUCCACAGCAACUGGUGUCAGUGUUCAUGUGUUACUGUUACGACAUAGUUGAUGCAGCAAUGCAAAGUAUCUAUGUACCAUGAAUUAACAACUCAAUCUUCUGCCAAGCUGCUGAAAGGAAGACUGGAGGGCCUUUAGCAGCAUUAGCAGUGGAACUUGGAAGGCUGCCUUGAGGCUGCCUGGCUGGCCUCUACAACAGAGACGAAGUUUAGAAGUAAUUUGUCAACAAUGUUGUCCAUGCUGCAAGAGGUGGCUGACGAGCACCAACCAGCGUGUGCAGCAGCCGUUCCGUUGUAAACGGUGCGCUGACCGCGGAGCCGGGGGUUGUCGACCGCCGGCUGGCACUCACCACCGUCCACCCCAAGCUGGCCAUCAUCGACUGGCUCGAGAACACCAGCACGCUGAGCCAGUUCAUCAGCUCGACGUGCCCCGACUUCGAGCAGCAGUGCGCUGAGACGCGCGAGCUGUUCACUGGGAGCAGAUGAAGCGACAUGGGACUCAGAGCGGCGCCACUGACGUGCAGCUGCAGCUGAUCGGAAUCGACAGGACACGUGUUCGCGGCUCGGCCACCACUCAUCAGCCUGCUGCUCCUGCCGUUCCGUCUGACGGCGCCGAUGACCGGGCUGGCGGCGUCUCUCGACGCGUCCGGCCACACCCGGCUGCAGGCGCUGCGCUCGUCGCUUUGGGUUGUAAAUGCCGGCGAGCAGUGAGGGUUGCCUCGCUGAGUCGUGUGGGCGCUCCUCACUGUAGAGGUCGCUGUGAGCGCUGUGCUCCUCUUCGACCAGAGGAUAGGUGGCGGUAGCGGUCGGUACGCAGCCAGCAGCGUACUGACACGUCAUAGACCGAUUGAAGGUCUUCAGUGCGUUAUGAAUAUGGCGCGGGUAGCUCGAUUCCGGCGGCGGCGUGACACGGUGACCCCUUGACCUCUAGCCGUGUCGGUCCGUGUGCGCGGCCCAUUCGCCCCCGACUUGGGUUGUCGAUGGCGGCUGCCGGCGCCCUUA
rnacentral:lncRNA from 1 species